CCUCAGAUCAGGUAGGAGUACCCGCUGAACUUAAGCAUAUCAAUAAGCGGAGGAAAAGAAACCAACAGGGAUUGCCCCAGUAGCGGCGAGUGAAGCGGCAAGAGCUCAGAUUUGAAAUCGUGUUUCGGCACGAGUUGUAGAGUGUAGGCGGGAGUCUUUGUGGAGCGCGGCGUCCAAGUCCCUUGGAACAGGGUGCCUGAGAGGGUGAGAGCCCCGUGGGGUGCUGUGCGAAGCGGUGAGGCCCUGCUGACGAGUCGAGUUGUUUGGGAAUGCAGCUCCAAGCGGGUGGUAAAUUCCAUCUAAGGCUAAAUACUGGCGAGAGACCGAUAGCGAACAAGUACUGUGAAGGAAAGAUGAAAAGCACUUUGAAAAGAGAGUGAAACAGCACGUGAAAUUGUUGAAAGGGAAGGGUAUUGGGCCCGACAUGGGGGGUGCGCACCGCUGUCUCUUGCAGGCGGCGCUCUGGGCGCUCUCUGGGCCAGCAUCGGUUCCUGCUGCGGGAGAAGGGGUGCCGGAACGUGGCUCUUCGGAGUGUUAUAGCCGGCGCCAGAUACCGCGUGUGGGGACCGAGGACUGCGGCUUCUGUCUCGGAUGCUGGCACAACGGCGCAAUACCGCCCGUCUUGAAACACGGA
rnacentral:rRNA from 1 species